GCUGGGCGUGGUGGCACACACCUGUAAUCCCAGCUACUCAGGAGGCUGAGACAGGAGAAUCACUUGAACCCAGGAGGUGGAGGUUGCAGUGAGCUGAGAUCACACCACUGCACUCCAGCCUGGGUGACAGAGUGAGACCCUGUCUCAA
rnacentral:SRP_RNA from 1 species